GGGAGAUGAUUUCGUCCAGUAAAUUUCUUUUAUUGGACUGAAGGGAGCUCCC
rnacentral:pre_miRNA from 1 species